AGUCGAGCGCUUCCUUCGGUGAGGAGCGGCGGACGGGUUANUAACGCGUGGGAACAUACCCUUCACUAANGAAUAGCCNCUGGAAACGGNGAGUAAUACCUUAUACGCCCUUCGGGGGAAAGAUUUAUCGGUGAANGAUUGNCCCGCGUUANAUUANAUAGUUGGNGGGGUAAUGGCCUACCAAGUCUACNAUCUAUANCUGGUUUUAGAGGAUGAUCANCAACNCUGGGACUGANACACGGCCCANACUCCUACGGGAGGCAGCAGUGGGGAAUCUUANACAAUGGGCGCAAGCCUGAUCUANCCNUGCCGCGUGAGUGAUGAAGGCCCUAGGGUCGUAAAGCUCUUUCNCCAGGGAUGAUAAUGACAGUACCUGGUAAAGAAACCCCGGCUAACUCCGUGCCAGCAGCCGCGGUAAUACNGAGGGGGUUAGCGUUGUUCGGAAUUACUGGGCGUAAAGCGCACGUAGGCGGAUCANAAAGUUGGGGGUGAAAUCCCNGGGCUCANCCCUGGAACUGCCUCCAAAACUGCUGGUCUAGAGUUCGAGAGAGGUGAGUGGAAUUCCGAGUGUAGAGGUGAAAUUC
rnacentral:rRNA from 1 species